rnacentral:tRNA from 1 species
GUCCUAAUAGUAUAGCCAUUACCUUGGUCUUGUAAACCAAAAACGAAGAAAAAAAUUUCUUCUUAGGACA